rnacentral:rRNA from 1 species
GACGAACGCUGGCGGCGUGCUUAACACAUGCAAGUCGAACGGAAAGGCCCUUCUUUUGUGGGGUGCUCGAGUGGCGAACGGGUGAGUAACACGUGAGUAACCUGCCCUUGACUUUGGGAUAACUUCAGGAAACCGGGGCUAAUACCGGAUAGGAGCUCCUGCUGCAUGGUGGGGGGUGGAAAGUUUCGGCGGUUGGGGAUGGACUCGCGGCUUAUCAGCUUGUUGGUGGGGUAGUGGCUUACCAAGGCUUUGACGGGUAGCCGGCCUGAGAGGGUGACCGGCCACAUUGGGACUGAGAUACGGCCCAGACUCCUACGGGAGGCAGCAGUGGGGAAUAUUGCACAAUGGGCGGAAGCCUGAUGCAGCAACGCCGCGUGCGGGAUGACGGCCUUCGGGUUGUAAACCGCUUUCGCCUGUGACGAAGCGUGAGUGACGGUAAUGGGUAAAGAAGCACCGGCUAACUACGUG